GACUGAUUUAGUAUUCUUUUUUUACGAGGUUUAUGAGUUAUUUAUGUGUUGUAAAGAAUUAAAAAAUGUGUAGUUUAAUAUAUUAUCUUUUUAUAAACAUAUAACAAUUGUAGUAUUAAUUUUUAAUAAACGAGGAUUAGAUACCCUCUUAUAAAAUUAUUCUAUUUUUUAAUUUCAGUAUUAACUGAAAGAAAUUGGCAGUUAACUAUGUCCUUCUAGGGGAUUAUGUUGUUUAAACAGAUGACCCGCUAAAUGAUUUUCCUUUUUAUUGUUGGUGUAUAUCCGGGUAUUAUAGAAAAUGAAUGUUUUUUAUUAAAAUUGUGUUUUAAACCAGGUCGUUAUGCUGCUUAUAUUAAGGUAUUAAUGUAAUACAUUAUAAAAAUAUAAAUUUUUAAAAAUUUUGUUUUAAGGACUUAGAAGUAAUAUAAAAUGGAAAUGUUUAUGUGAAGUUAGGUUUAGUUAAGGUACACAUCGCCCGUCAUUUUCGGUGUUUAGCU
rnacentral:rRNA from 1 species